GCUUCCCCGUGCCCGGAAUGCAUUACGAUUCACAACAGCCACUUCCUGUUUGCCGUCUCCAUGGAAACAGAAGACGCGCUUGGAAUUUGGAACGUUCAAACUGCAAACAUGUCGCAGGAAGUCUUGUUGAAUGUAACCCCCAAAUUUACCUUCUGCCCCCUUCCAAACAGGCCCUUUAAGUCCCUGGAAAACAGAGACACCAGAGAGCUGCUGAUGAAAUGGUAAAUACUGGUUUGCUGUGCCUGGAUUUAAUAUUAUUAUUAUUAUUAUUAAUGAAUAUUUCUAGAGAUAACUGGUUGAGAGAUCUCUAUAUACCACCUUUAAUUACAUAUUACAUGUGUGUGUUCUCAAGCUGUUAUCUUGCUUAUAAAAGUAUCCUUCUAACAGUAAAACUAAAACAUUAGGACAAAAGUAUGCUUUGCAUGCCUAUAGAAUGCCAAAGCAUGAUGGAAGCUGUAGUUUUAAAACACCUGGGGAAUAUACCUUUUGGGUUUCCCCGUUGCUCUAAGGCAGGGAUCCUCAAACUCUGGCCCCCCCCAAAUGUUGCUGAACUACAACUCCCAUGAUUCUCUGGCUAUCGAUGUAAUUCAAAGAAUGAUGGGAGUUGUAGUUCAGCAACAACUGGAGGGCCACAGUUUGAGGACCCCUGCUCUAAGGAGUAGUGAAUCGGAAACUGAACUGAACUGCAAAAGGUAGGUGGCUAUAGGUGAAUUGCUGAUUUGUUUUCCAAGUCAGCGUUUUAUUGCCUACAUUUUGCAGUUCUCGUUUCUGGUCACUGCAAUUCUAUGUUUAGCAAAUAUGCAGCUGUAACAGUUUGCCUACCCUUGAUCGUAGUACUAUAACUAGUGAAAUGCAGUAUUGGAAAUCAAAAUUUCAUUUAAAUAUACCUAAGUUACAUUAUGUGUACUUGGGAUUUCAAUGUGAUAUUCAAAUUUGAAAGGGCUACUCCAAAUAUCAUAGCCAUUAUCACUCGCUGUAGUGGUUAUGAUCCCAGGAGUACCCUGUUCCCUUUUCCCAAUAAUGGGGCAAACCAGUUUGCAAUGACUUGCCCUCUUACUUGGGUAUGGAGUCUCCCUUUCUGCAGCAAAAGGGUAAACUCUGUAGGUGCAAAAUGCUGCGCAUACAGACAACAAGCUGCCUGAAUACAUCAAAUAGCUGAAGUGGUCAUGGUGCUGGGUGUGGUCCCUUAAGCCAAAAUAGUCAAAUGUAAAACUAUAUCUGACUUGUAUGUUAUUUUCCAUUUAGGUGAUUUUAACCUAAAAUGUGAAAUUCACUUUGAAUUACUGAAAAAGUUACAGUAUAGUAUUAUCUUUCUCUCCAUUUGUUUAGAUUCAAGCUAAAAUGGUAGGUUAAGACCAUACUACUCUGUUCUAUUCUGAUCAGUUACAAAAAAUGCAGAUAAUCUGAUAACAGUUAAAAGAACAUUCCAAUAACCAUAAGUACUACAGAACUAUAGUGGUUAUGGUGCCAGGAGUUCAAACCCCUCCAAUGUAAGUAGUUUGACUUUUCACCUGGGUACACCUGGCAUUAGUCACUUCUGGACGCUCUAUGGUCCGAGCUAAGCCUGGUGGCUGAGAGUAGUCAGCUGGUACUUUCAACCAAUGAACUAACACUAGAGUUUCGCUCAGGAAUGCAAACAGAAGCUCCAUGCAGUGUUGUUUAAUAAACACAUUUUGCACAUUGCUUUUUGGGCCAAUCCAUCGUUUUUUUUCAUGUCACCCAAGCAUAUCUACUGGCAUUGCAAUAGGGAUAUACCGGUAGGUAAUGCCAUGCAUCAUAUUCUUUUUAAAAAGAAAAAUCCAUACUUGUAGUAAUUAGCACUGGAUCACCAGUUCAGUUUUUAGUAUUCUUUUUUUUUUUUUUUUUUGUAAGAAAUGUUUACCUAGGUUAGGGAGUACCAAUAUCUAUAACAAAAUGUAAGAAAAUAAGCAUUGACAUGGCUCUUAUGCUACAUAUUGCACACAUUUCCUGUAAUUACACAAGCAGCACACUGUGGAAUCAAAGUGCAGUCUGGGGUUACAGUACUACUUGCUAUAUUGACUGUGGUCCCUGCACCAGAGCCCUCUACGUCUAUCCCGAUUGUUAUAUGAUCUUCUCUUUUAAAAGUAGGUUGUCGUCCCUGCUUAUCUUCUGUACUGUAAUGUUUGACAUGACAUUGUAUAACACAGAGCUAGAUAAUUACUCAGUAAUACCUCUCACCAUUAUGCCAUUUUGGAGGGACAGUCCCAGUUUCAAGCCCACUGGCAUAAUUGCAGGAUUGGCACCCUGUAGACACCAGGCAAAAAGUCAAAUCUGUCAUGCACAGUGGGCGUGAUUCUGUCCCAGGAUUGCAGGGGAUAACCUGGUUUUCUGGUUGUUUUUCAUUACAAUAGUCCCUCCCUGGCACCACUAUGUCUGGAAACCUAAUUAAGUUAGCACCAGCUAACACAAUAGGCUCCCUGCUGGGUCUUCCCAGACCUAAAGGCAAGAUAUACCAAAUGUCUUUCAGAACCCCCUUUUUUACGUGAACAGCACCCCCACAAACUAUAUGUCCCGGGAUAGCUCGUCAACGAGCACCGCCACUGUUUAAAUAGCACCUUAAUCAGAGAACCCCGAGCUACAGUGUUUAAAAUUUUACAGAGUUUGCUCAAAUCCCAGGUAUCCUCAGAUGCCUCAUGGCCUCUGCGAUCUCCCCCCAAAAUAGGGCCUGUUUGGUGGUCUAAGAACUGAGUGAUACCUGAUUACCUGGCACAGUCCCGAUUCAGUGAACAGUUAUAGAGAGAUUUAAGGCAUCUCCCGGUAAGGCACUGGAUGUGCUGGACGAGUCCAGGCAAUCACCAGAGUCCCCAAUGCUAGCUGGGAAGUAGAAUAAGUGACCAGGGUCCCCAUAGCCCUCCCCACAGUGAUAAUAACCCCUUCCAGGUGUUAUUUGUCUUUUCAUUGUUAAAAUAUUCUGUCUUGGUACUCUAGCAUCAGAAUGUACAUACCUAUAGAGACAAGGUUAUAAGUCACAUAACCAGACUGUCAAAAAGACACUAUAGACACAGCAGACACUCAGACAACCUAAUCUCAUUGGAGGUUAAUUCAUUUGGUGUCACUUUAUGCCCUCGGAUGGGAGGAUGGAUAAGGUAGCUAGAGAACAAGUUGUUUUAAUGCCCACAUUUUCUCUAUUGUGACAUCUUGGCAGAUAGACCUCUCCAUGACAAAACCGUUUUAAAACAGUUCGACUCCUUACAAUGGGGGAUGCCAGGGAACUCCUGACACCAUAGCCUCUACAGCGACCUGUAGUGGUUAUGCUACUUGGAGUGUUCCUUUAAUGAAGUAACUGUAAACACUCUGUGACUAUAACUGUAAACACCAACAUAUCUACAUAUUUAAAGUUACGGUAAGUUAAAUUCACCAGAUUGCCACAAUCUCUUCUUUUUUAAUUUUUUGUUUUCUUUUUUGUUUUUUACAAACUUAAGCAGGAUAUUUGACUAUUUUAACUUAUAUUACUGCUAAUAUUUCAGACCUAUGCUGAAUGUUUGCAUGAUAAAACAUCCCUAGCAAGGCAUUACUUAAAAUUUCUUGUAAAGCCUGAAUGAAAAUUUUAAGUUAUGUAAAUAUACACAAUUAAAUAAAUUUUUUUUGUAUCUCUGAACAAUAAUGUAACUCUUUGCGUUCCAAUAAAUUUUUACUAAGCGCGCCAGCAGGUCUUAUAUACAUUUUUAGAAAUUAAUUUUUCCCCAAAAUUGGAGAUAGCAUGCGCACAGUGCUACGCAAUAUCCCGCUGGAACGCAACGCAACCUUUGUGUGCGUUCCACCGCCAGGAUCAAACUCCUCCUCCUACAAUCCUACUGUCAAGUAUUUACUUCUAGACGACAAGGUAAGCCGGCUGCUUAGCAGGUCUGUACCCCUCCUGUCUUUGUGGUGGAACGCACACUGGGUGCCUGUGUUCCACCUUCUUAUACCGCCGAUCCUCUGUGCCAGGUGCCAGAAAAGGCAAAAGUGGAGGGGCGAAGAUGAGUGGGACAGACCUGCUGAUCAGUUGACUCGCCUUAUCCCCUAGAAGUAUUCCGAGGCAAAACUAGCACAGGGGCUUGGAGCCAAAAUUGUCCUGCACCCCAGCCCCAUGUGCCUUGUUCCCUUACCCCAGUCCUUCUAUGUGUCUCAUUUCCUGCCACCCAGCCCCUCCAUGUGUCUCAUUCCGCUCCCUCCAGCCCCUCUGUGUCCCAUUCACCUCCCCAGUCCCUCCAUGUGUCUCAUUGCCGUCCCCCCAGUCCCUCCAUGUGUCUCAUUUCCCGCCCUCCCAGCACCUCCAUUUGUCUCAUUUCCCCCAGCCCCUUCAUGUGUCUCAUUCCCUUCCCUCUUCAGCCUUUCCAUGUUUCUAAUUUUCUUCCCCCCAAUCUCUUCAUGUGUUUCAUUUCCCUCCCCACCAGCCCCUUCGUGUGUCUCAUUUGCCCUUCCCAGUAGCCAGUCCUUGCAUCUCAUUCCCCUCCCCCCAUCCCCUCCAUGUGUCUCAUUCCCCUCCCUUCCACCCCCUACAUAUGUCUCUUUGCCCUCCCUCAGCCCCUCCAUGUGUCUCAUUCCCUUCCCCCCAGCUGCUUCAGGUGUCUCAUUUCUCUCCCCACCAGACCCUCCAUGUGUCUUUCCCCUCCCCAGCCCCUCCAUGUGUCUCAUUCCCUCCCCUCAGACCCUUCAUGUGUCUUAUUUCCCAGCUCUUCCAUGUCUCAUUCCCUCCCCCAUGUGUCUCAUUUCCUUCCCCCCAGACCUUCCAUGUGUCUAAUUUUCCUUCCCCCCAACCCCGGCAUGUGUCUCAUUUCACUCUCCCCAAACCCCUCCAUGUGUCUCAUUUCCCUCCUCCCCAGCACCUCCAUGUGUCUCCUUUCCCCCACCCCUCUAUUUGUCUCUGCCCUUUCCACCCCUGUACCUGCUCAUCGAUACCCACUCUUAUAGGAAGUACUGUCUCAGUGAGCACUUCCUAUCAAACCACAGUCCGCUCAGCCACUCUACAUACAGGCAGGAGCGGAGCAGCACAGCCCUGAGUUGCUAUGUCGGAAUAUAUCUGACAAAAUAUUUGAUCACUUGUGUUCCAAUGCCGCACCAGCCCCGAAGUUAUGCUGACAUUGGAACGCCAGUGAUAAAAUAUUUUGUCGGAUAUAUUACGACAUAGGACCACAAAGGGUUAAACCAUGCGCAAGAGUACAGCAUUGAGGAUGAACGAUCCCAUGAGAUCGUGGGACCCUCCAAAGACCGAGCCAAUUCCCUGCAGCCAUCAGUGGUGACGGCUGGGGGGGUUAACUCUUAGGCUCCACCUUGUGUCUGAGAAAGUUAGCUGGAGGAGAAAUACACAGACAAAGUAGUCCCUAUUUAAGUGAAAUUCCAACACAUUCAAAAUGAGUGUUUCACAAAGAUUAUAUCUUUUGAAAUACAAAUAUUUCAGGUGUGGAGGAGGGAGGGGUGACAGUGCCGCUUUAAAGUAACACUAUAUUGGUUGGAAUACAAACACUAGGAUGUUCGUCUGCCUCCGUUGCCCCUCCUAAAAAUCCCUUAAACACCUGAUUACAGCUUUGUCUAUUCCUCUUCCAACGUCAAUGCUAGGGGAAACCUAAUGCGCAUGCGUGGUGAGCGGAUCUUGCGCGUAAUGCCAUAUGACAAGACGUUCUCAAGCAAAGCGUGAGGACGUCCAGCGUCAUUUCACGAAGAGUCCACUAGAGGCAGUCUUAACCCUGCAAUGAAAGCAUUGCUAUUUCUGUAAAACUGCAAUGUUUUCAGAUGCAGGGUUAAAAGGACAGAAACACUGCAGCUUUAAAGGGACACUAAAGGCACACAGACCAUUUCAUCUAAUUGAACUGGUGCAUAUAGUGUCCCUUUAAAGCAAUGCGUACCAUAACAAAAAGAGGUUAUUAGAAAUAAGGCAUUCUAAAAUGUACUGUAUAGUGAAAAUACUUUUUUUUUUUUUUUGCUACAUGGUUGAAAAAGAAAUUACUAACACUAACCAAAAUCAACACAUUUUGAUAUAGCACAGGUGUCUUUCUAAAGGAAGGCUUGAAGCAAGCAUAAGAUUUUCUGGCAAUAUCUACGUAUAUCAAUCAAAUCAUAUAUGCUUAUUAAAUUAUACAGAAUUGUCAGGAAUGUAUGACACAUUCGGCAGAUGGUUUAGAGAGAACUAUUAAAAUCCUUGAAGUUAUACAGACUUGGGCUGAUAGAAACAGAUGGCUAUGGAUCAGUCAUUCCGCUGUAGGCAGACUCUGUUGCCAGUAUUGGCUAUAAACAAAAGGAGGAACUCCGCACUCUUAUUAAAAUCCUGGUGAAACCAUGCCUAGGAUUGGCUGCCCCUACCGUGAUAGUUGAACAAAAUUGUGGUCCAGGCACUCAAGGAUCAGUUGAACAGCAGCUUUAUUUGGAAAAGUACGUUUCAAUCCCACUGCAGGGUAAUAUAGGGAUUUAGAGCAGGGGUUCUCAACCCAGUCCUCAAGGACCCCCUACCAGUCCAGGAUUUAUGGAUUACCUGGGUGUGUCUCAGGUGUUUAGUAAAAGAGGGGAAAAAACACCUUAGAGUCUAAGGUGUUUUUUUUUUCUUUCUAAACACUUUAACACACAUUGGUAAUCCCUGAAUCCUGGACUGGUAGGGGGUCCUUGAGGACUGGGUUGAGAACCCCUGAUUAACCCCUUAGCGACCGAGGACGGUUCAGGACCGUCAUCGGCAUUUUUGCCUUGAGGACUGAUGACGGUCCUGAACCGUCCUAACGGUCUGGGGGUACUUACCUGAUCGCCGUCGUUCCCCCGGCGGCGAUCAGCGUUGCUCCGGUUGUGGGGAGACUGCCAGCAGCCCAGACAGUCUCCCCACACUGAUUUAGGACCCCUGUGGCCAUGUGAUCGCUUAACACAGCGAUCACAUGGUCACAAUAGGUGUCCAUAGUGCUGCCUGCAGGGGGACUGUCUGUGCUGACAGGCAGUCUCCCUGCUAGUGUAAAAUCAAAAAAAAAGUUAGUGUUAAUAAAAAAAAUUAAAAAAAUUAUAUAUGUGUAUAAAUAUGAUAUAUAGACAUAUAUUAUAUCUAUAUAAUAUAUGUCUAUCUAUCAUAUAUAUAAUGUCAUACUAAGUGUAUUUUUAUAUUAAUAUGUACUUAUAUUAAUAUAAAAAUACACUUAUAAUUAAAUUAUACACGUAUAUAUAUAAUAUAUAUAAUAACUAUAUAUAUUGUAUAUAUAUAUUAUUAUAAAAUAUAAAUAAUAAGUAAUUUAAAUUAAAUAAAAAAUUUUUAAAUAAUAAUAAAAAAUUAAAAAAAAAUUAUAUAGCUAUAUGAAAUUUUAUUCUAACUGUAUUUUAAAAUUAAUAUAUAUAUAUUUAUAUCAAAAUACACUUAGAAUGAAUUUGAAUAUAUAUCUAUGUAUAUAAAAAUAAAUAAAAAUAAUAAGAAAUAUACAUACGUCCAUAUACAAAAUUACAUAAAUAAUUAUAUAAAUAUACACGUAGACUUCAAAUAUAUAAAUAUGCAUAUAUAUUUAAAUUCUACGUGCGUAUUUAUGUAAUAUUUUUACAUAAUUCAGUAAUUUUAUUGAUUGCAAUUUGAGGGACCUGCCUGCCAACCCAGGCCGAAAUUCCAGAGAAUUUAAUUUGUUAGCACUGUAUUUUACCCUGUAACGUUCUACGACACCCUAAAACCUGUACAUGGGGGGUACUGUUUUACUCGGGAGACUUCGCUGAACACAAAUAUUAGUGAUUCAAAACAGUAAAACAUAUCACAGCGAUGAUAUUGUCAGUGAAAGUGACUUUUUGCAUUUUUCACACACAAACAGCACUUUUACUGAUGAUAUAAUUGUUGUGAUACGUUUUCCAGUUUUUAAACACUAAUAUUUGUGUUCAGCGAAGUCUCCUGAGUAAAACAGUACCCCCCAUGUACAGGUUUUAUAGCAUUUUUGAACGUUACAAGGUCAAAUAUAUGGGUCAAAUAUUUUUACAUUAAAAAUGGCCAGGUUGGUUACGUUGCCUUUGAGAGCGUAUGGUAGCCCAGGAAUGAGAAUUACCCCAUGAUGGCAUACCAUUUGCAAAAGAAGACAACCCAAGGUAUUGCAAAUGGGGUAUGUCCAGUCUUUUUUAGUAACCACUUGGUCACAAACACUGGCCAAAAUUAGCGUUCAAUUUAGUUUUUUUACUUUUUUCACACACAAACAAAUAUGAAUGCUUACUUUGGCCAGUGUUUUCGACUAAGUGGCUACUAAAAAAGACUGGACAUACCCCAUAUUGAAUACCCUGGGUUGUCUACUUUAAAAAAAAUAUGUACAUGUGGGUGUUAUUCAGAGAUUUAUGACAGAUAAUAGUGUUACAAUGUCACUAUUGAUAAAUUUAAAAAAUUUAUGUUUUGAAACCGCAAUAUUCUACUUGUACCUAUAGCCCUAUAACAUGCAAAAAAAAGCAAAAAAGCACGUAAACACGGGGUAUUUUUAAACUCAGGACAAAAUUUUGAAUCUAUUUAGCAGUUUUUUUAAUUCGCUUUUGUAGAUGAGUAAAAGAUUUUUCAAGUAAAAGUCAAAAAACAUGUAUUUUUUUCAAUUUUUCAUCAUAUUUUUUUAUUUUUUUUUAAAAUUAAAAUACAUGAGAUUAUAUAAAUAAUGGUAUGUAAAGAAAGCCCCUUUUGUCCUGAAAAAAACAAUAUAUAAUUUGUAUGGGAACAGUAAAUGAGAGAGCGGAAAAUUCCAGCCAAACACAAACACCACAAAAGUGUAAAAAUAUGCCUGGUCGCAAAUGUACAACAUCGCAAAAAAGGUCCAGUCCUUAAGGGGUUAAGAGGAUACUUCUCCAUUGUAUAUAUAGGACCCUACACAUAUUUUAGACACAAUUGAAACAAAGUUUCCACCAGUACAAAGUUACAGAAAGCUACGUGAAUAACAACCCCAUUAAUACUUGAACUAAAUGGGGAAACAGAGAUAAAGUAAUGAGAUAUGUGUCCUGAUCUAAAUAAUACUAUAUGAGUGCAUAAAUAUGCACUAGAGGAGCUCCAUAUGUACUCCCUAAAAAAACUGUGUCCAAAAGAUGCCUAGGGUCCUAUAUAUACAGUGGAGACUUAUCAUCUAGAAUCCUAUAUUACCUUAGACACAUUUUGAUCCUUUCCAAUUUAUAAGUAUCCAGUUUAUGUUCCCUGGAUUAUGGUAGACAUUUAGGAGCUAAGCCACUUUGUACCUAUCCAAGCAUCUAAUAAAGGAAUCUUUCCCAAUAAUAAUAGCAUUAGUUGAGUUAAGGUGGUACUUCUUUGUAAAACUUUCCAUUACCACUAGGUAGAGUAUAUAUAGAAAGUAUAUUUAUGUAGGGCUUUUUUUUGUGUUUAUUCUUACUUAGAUUGCUUAUUUAAGCACAGAUGUAUUAUUCACUAUUUCGACAUGGCUUAUAAUUAGACUAGGGAUUCUACCUCUUUCUUUGUGUAUAUAUUUACUGGGGUUAAGCACUAGGGAAUAAUUAUCCUUAGGGGGCCCUCUCUCUAUCUUUCUUAAGCUUCUUCUAUUGCUCCAUGGUCCAGUUCUGGCGCUUUUGGGGGUGGACAAGAGUCAUCACGGGCACUCUGACCAAUCUGCAAAUACGCAGCCCCAAAUGCAGCAAACUAUUUAAGCUACAGUAGCUUUUCUGUGUGAUCAGACCUUGGGUGCUCAUGACCCUGAUGGUCGUUCACCGUUUGUCCUUCACCACCCAACACUUUUAGUAGGUACUAACCACUGCAUACUGGGAACACUGCACAAGACCUGCUGUUUUAGGGAAGCCCUGUCAUCUAGCCAUCACUAUUCGGCCCCUGUCAAAUUCAUCUUUUUGCUUUCCCUUUUUUCCUGCUUCCAAUAAAUAAAAUUCAAGAACUGACUGUUCACUUGCUGCCUAAUAAAUCCUACCCAUUGACAGGUGUAAUUAUGAUGAUACAAUCACUUCACUUAUAUUCACUUCACCUGUCAGUGGUUUUAGUGUUCUGGCUGAUUACUGUAUAUCUCCUUUUGUUCUCAACCAGUUCCUCAAUUUAAUUCAAUCUAAUAUACUUUAUUGAUGCUACAAAAAUCUGGAUGAUGAUGAUAAAUGUAAUCGAUAUUGAUAUAAAAAAAAAAUUCUAGAAUAUAAUGCAUAAUGCUGCCGGUCAUAAAUAAUCUUAAAUAAGUAUAACGAUAAUGUGCAAUGCCUCUUACUGAAACAGAUUACAUUCUAAUUUGUUGUUUGUCUUCUCCACUAGGUCUAUAAACAACAGAAUAGUAGCCCAAGCCUUCCGCUAUGAUCAGUAUUUUCAGCCCUAUCAAAAGCAUGAGUUUGUCCUGGUAAGCGCAGUCUUAUUAUUAUUAUUAUUAUAUUGAAAUCAGAAUGAUAUAAUUAAAUACAGAAAAUAAAAGCUUCACAACAUUCCUAUAUAAUAUUAUAAGAUCCACCUUUGAACUGGAUGUGCAUCGGAACAUGAACUUCUUAGAUUGAGGUGAAACAGCUGAAAAGCAAGCUUGCAAAAUCCUUUUAAGCCAACAAAUUUAUUGACAUGUCUAUUAAAAUCCUCCAUAGAGCUUAUUGUCACAACUGUCAUCUGGGUGACCCUCUCUAACAUCAAUGUGUCCCUAAGUGAAAUUUGAAGAGACACUGUAGGUAUUCUUAUUAUAUUCAGCCUCACGUUUGCUUGUUGCGUCAAGGUAAAGGUUUAAGAAAGAUAAAGGUCUGGAAGAGGCUAGGAGCUUAGGAUCCUUACCAGAUUUGGGUGAACUUAUGAUUUUCAGUUGUAUGUGUGUGCAUGUAGGGGCGUAUUUGUUUGCAGUAUUGGCAUUUGAAUGCAGCUGUGUGUUUGUUUGUCCUGUUGCCAUUUGAAAGCAGUGGUCUACUUGUGCAUUUGAUUGUAUGUAGUGUUUGUAUGUAAUGUUGGCCUUGGAAUGCUAGAAUUUCUGCACAUAUAUAAACAUACAUUGCUACAAACAUACAUACUAUAUGAUUGCGCUUUAAAAGGGUUGAAGCAAACUGGGCCACCUAUCAGACAUGUCUUUUGGAUGGCAACACUGGCAGAACUACAGCUGGUUGCGGACGCAACAUCAGGUUGUCCUACGUGCGUGGGCAUGUCUGAACAGUGGCUAGAUUUGGGUACCAAGGCGUUUUAUCAGUGCAACUGGGCCCCUGGUCAGAUUAGCUGUGCUAUGAGGAAGUGAAUUCAAGGCUCUUCCACCCAUCUUGCAGAAAUAGCCUUUCAGGCUAGGAGGAUGCAGAAACAGGAGGGAGGAGAGAGACGUCUUUGUGUGUUGCAUCUUCACUUCUAGCAUCUAAAUACUCCACUAGCGGUCACUUUGAAAUUAUUUUUCUUAACAUUACAUAAAUAACAAGUAAUAUAUAACACACAGUCAAACGUAAACACUACACUACAAGUACACCACUACUUUCAAAUGACAGCACUACAUACAAACACACAACUGUAUUCAAAUGCUAACACUAUACACAAAUGCACCCCUGCAUGUACAUACAUACUCAAUACAAAUACUUACAUUCAAACACUGCUCUCAAAUACAACAUUGUAAAGAUGGGCAAAUGAUACAUUCCCAGCUGGUAAUGCAUCAUGGAAGUUAAGCAACAGACGGAAAUUUACUUUUUAGCCAUCCUUGUUUUAUUUUUGGACCAGGGCCCUCUAGACGUUAGUGUGUGGGCCACCUGAUGAGUGACACCCCAGCUUGCAGGCCCCAGUGUAGCUGUUUCAGCAGUAGUUCCACCAGUGAUUGAAAUCUUUAAGCUGGGUGAAGCAAUAUUUUACUGUAUGUAUGGAGAACAAGUGAAUGAUAAUAUUAGGGAGCUAAUAAUUUGCUGUAUUCAGGGCUUAGUCCAUCCAGGCCUGGUGUUUUAGUCUGGCAAAGUGCCUUAAUACACAAUAGUACUUCCUGAGAUAUAGGCAUAGCUUGUGUCUGUGUGUUUGGAGUACCUCCAAUAAUCCACUAGGUCUAAUUGAUCCUGUCCGAGUGACUUGUCGUUUGUGAGCAGUCAAGUAGUUGAUCAGGUAGAGUAUUUAAAUCCCCACCUAUGAUGACGUUUGGGAAUUUCUCAAAUCUGUGAAAAAGGAAUUGGAAUUUUCAUUUGAUGCAUAGACACUCAGCAACAUAGAGGCUGAAAUGCAGAUUCGAUCUGUAUGGUCUCUUUUUCCAGUUUAGAAUCAAUUAAAGGUGAAAGCCAAACUGGGAGUUCAUUGGAUUUUUAAGUGACUUUCCAUCUGACGAAGAUGAUUGCAGAAAAGUAGAAGAGUUUGAGUCAUCAGAAUAACUUGUGUCGAAAGGUUCUGGAGAUGUAGUUGUGGGUGCUGCUAUUUUACUUAGUAGAGUUUUAGUUUAUCCUUUGUUCCCAGUUUCUUAGAUGAUACUGAGUGUGCAAUAUAUUGAUAUGUGAAUACUAUAACCACUGCUGUGGUCUGUAAUAGUUAUGGUGCCGGGAGUCCCCUGGCAUAUUUUCACUGUUAAGCAUCAAACCAGUUUAGAUGUUUAGGUUUUGAUGUCCAAGCACUAUAGUAAGACUCAGGCUAUAUUCUCACAGGAGCCUAUCACUGCUCAGGAAGGAUUAGCAAUGUUCAUGGUGAAUAAGAACUGAUGCAAUGUAAGUAACUACGUGCAGCUGUCUCCAAACAAUAUGAUAAUAUUCUCACAAGCGCUGAACUUGACUCUGGAAGGAUUCAAGGGUCACUAGAGGCACCCACAACACUUUAUCUCAUUGAAAUGGUCUGGGUGCAGUGUCCCUGUCCCCUUUACCCUACAGCUGAAAACAUUUUAGGUUUAGAGAGACUGCAAUGUUUACAGGAGUUUCCGGGUUUUUCACAGAGUUUAACCUGAAACGAUGCUGGACGUCCUCAUGUUUUUCAUGAGGACAUCAAGUGUUUUGCAAAACCCCAUAGGAAAGCAUUGAUUCGGUGCUUUCCUAUGGGAAAGGCCUAAAGCGGGUGCGGUGCCUUCCACCCAUGCACACUAGGUUCCCUAUCAGACUGAUGACGGAAGACAUGGAGUCAGACCCCUCAACGCUGUAAUCAGGAUAAUUGCAGCAGUGGGCAGGGGAGGGGGAAACGGAGGCAGAGGGACACUAUAGUGUGAGGAACACAGCUUUGUAUUGCUAAAACUAUAGGUUUCCUUUAACAAGCUGCUAUUGUAGAAACUCACUGAGACAAUUCAGAAACAGGGUGUACAUGCCCCCAAUAACUAUUGUCUAUGCAUUAUGAUGAAAUUAAGGUCUUGCUCUGUCAACAUUGUCACAAACAAACACCAGCACUCACCAGACCAACUGAAUGGGUUACAGCAGCCUCAGUUCUCCUUAGUUGUCUAGUUAAUGUGUAGAAAUGGUCCAACACGAUUCCAUUCAGUAUUUAGCGUUUUGUUUUUUUUGUUUUUCUUAACUUAGGCAUUUUUAUUGAAGCUGUCCUUUACACCAGCAAUGUUUUGCCUGUACACAUUGCUUGACAAAGGCUCUCAUGAAAUAUUAUACAGGGCCCUAGAAUGGUUAACAAUAUUUUAAAGCAAAUCAAAUAAUAGGGUGCAACUGGUCCCCAAUAAAAAGCAUUGACGCCAUAAAUAUACUCUGGUUCUGUCAAUGUGACCAAAUAAAAACCAUGCACACUGAAGAUAUAAGAGAAAUGUGCAAAUUUCGGAUUUAAAUUGAUGAGGCCUUACCUUCAAAUGCCGCAUCAAACUAAAUUGAUUCUCAUCUUAAACCUUUUUCACACAUACUGUAAGAGAGAUAGCAAAACGAUUGUACUGUCUUACCAUUAAUGUAGACGUAUUUUCCUAGUGAUCUGUUGAUGCAAUUAAUGGCAUGCUUGCUACCUGUGACCAUGAAAUUGGAUGCAGAUGAAUUUGUCAGAUGCCAGUAAAAAGUAUUUUGCAUCCAGCAGACAUAGCGUAUGUUAAUAGCUUUCCCAGAUAUAAAAUGUGGCACGGUGUGAGCCAGUCUUUCAAUAAAAAGUACAUUAUGCUCUCUCUAUUAUAGGAGCUUGGUUAUAAGCACCGUUAAUGAACAACUCUGCAGUACUGGCAGUGACUUGAUAAAAAAUAAAACUUUUUAUUACCGGUAAGUGGCAUUAUUUCAGAUGGGUUGAAACCACACCUGUGAAAUUAAUAUCUGUUGCAAAAGACCAAUGUUCUUCAGUUUAUGUUUCCCAUGGAGUAAAAAGAAGCAUGUGAGCCAGUACACUUUGGGAACAGUAGUAGACAAACUGAAGUAACUGUUCAAUAAAAUGUCUAGAUAUUUAAAGGCACUCACACUUAUAUAUAUAUAUAUAUAUAUAUAUAUAUAUAUAUAUAUAUAUAUAUAUAUAUAUAUAUAUAUAUAUAUAUAUAUAUAUAUAUAUAUAUAUAUAUAUAUAUAUAUAUAUAUAUAUGUAAAUCUGUUAUUUUCCAUGGUACCUGAGUAGCAUGAUAUUUCCUGACAAAAAUGAAGUGUAUAUAUAUAUUAAGGAGGAAAUUGUGAGUGCAGGGCAAAGUGAAUUUUUGAAAGUAAGGCACUUAUUGCAAAUUAAUUUUAAGUCCUGUGAUACCCGUCAUGGGAGAAUUUAUUGAUCACGAUCCUUAAGACGGUGGCUGUAAGUGGGUGUCUACUCCACAGUUCACUCAAGCAAGCACUGCAAUUGUAUUUUUGGUAAAAUUCAAAAGGGAUAAUUACAAAAAAAAAAAAAUAUGAUAGCUACCCUUUAAAGGUAUGUAAUUAUCGUAAAGGAUACCGCACUCUCCUGGAUCCUAGGGGGCAACCGGGCCUGAGGUUGGCCAGUGCUCACAAUGUAAUUUUUUUACAUUUCACAUGUUUGUUUUUAGAUUUCUUGUUUUUAGAUUUUUAGCUGUAUCCCUAAUUUAGAGUUUGGUACGUUUUGAGUCACUGCCAGGUUCAGGAAAAUGAAGCUGGAUAGGAAGACAAAAUGGUGCCAAAAUGGGGUAAGAAUUAGAAGGUAAUAACGAGAGACUAGUUGGAAAAAAUAAUAAAUGGGGGCAUAUAGCACACAAAGUGUCGGGGGGACCUUAAAAAAGAAAAAAAAUACUAGCCGCUUUUAAAAAGCACUGUCUUGUUUAAUUGUUUUGUGUAUUUUUUCUUUUUUCAUAUAGAUUACACUCUCCUCUCCCCUCGCCACUUAACUUUAAUAAGAUAAAGUUUAAUAAUAAGAUACCAUAUGUUUACAGGUGUGUGUGUGUAUAUAUAUAUAUAUAUAUAUAUGUGUGUAUGUAUGUAUGUGUGUAUAAAAAUAUUGAGAUAUAGGCUAGCACUCACGGUCUUGUAGUAAAAAAUCAUCUUUAUUCAGUUAUUCCUUAAAAACUCGACGCUUCAGCCCACUUCCUGGGAGUGCUCUCCUUUGUCUUGAUAUGCAUGUAUAUAUAUAUCCACACGAAGGAGAGCACUCACUGGAUUUGUAGUAGUCUUCAAACUUUUAUUUCCCAAAUGGUGACAUCAACUUUUACGUCCAAACAGCGGACUUUCAUCAGGAUAUAUCUUUACUAUGGGAAAGCAUUGGAUUGGCUGAGAUUGUUUAUUCUGAUGAUCUCAGCCAAGAAGGUGGGUCGGGGGAAGGCCAAAUGCCACACGGUCCAAUCAGCAUCUCCGCAUAGAGAUACAUUGAGUCAAGCUUGAAGAUGCUAAACCAGUGUCCAUCUGACUGACUGCCAUUGGAGGUGUCCCUAGGCAGCAAUAUAAGCGCUGCCUUAUACCUGAAAAGGCAGUGUUUGAAGUGAAACUACCUCCAGGGACAUAAUAUACUCACCAGAACAAAUACAUUAAGCUUUAGUUGUUCUGGUGAUUAUAGCGUCCCUUUAAGCAAAUUCAAUCAUACCUGCUUACACCCGUAAUUCCUUCUACAAUGAUCAUGUGUAUUCCGUAUGUCCAGUCUUUUAAAUACAAUUGUAAAACUAGAUAUUUGAGGGCUUUUUAUGAUAAAAUCGAACAUGUUUGCUAUUGAAAACAUUAAGUUGUUCUAAAAGGAAAACAAUAAUGCAUACCCAGACAUUCAGGAUGCCUGCAGAGCCCAAACUUGAUUAGAUAUCUUUAUGAGGUAAGUGGAUUGUAUCAGUCAUCAAAAGGUUUUACAAAACAUUUUCAUUGUCGCAAUAUUUAUAAACCCCUCUGGCUCCUCAUGAAAUGUUUGUAGAGGAUUUCCUAUUCUGUUUAAAAGGGUCAUAAAAUAAGAGGCAGUGUUUUGUUUGUUUUUCUUUUUAUAGUUGUUAUGCAUUCUAGAAAUAUAUUAGCCUUAAAAUAGUAUUUACUGACUAAUUUCCUACACCCUUUAUUGUCCCUUUAAACUGUACCUGUCAUGAACAAAUUACUUGUCCAGACAUAAAAUUACAUGGCCACGCAGCACAUUUCAUCUAUACGUUAUGCUAGCUAAAAGGCUGGAAAAUGUAUAGAUAUAAUUUUAUUUACUCUAAAGCAUUUAAAGGGACACACAGGGAUCGAUUUUACUACCCAUUUUUAAUGCAUUACCUAGGUAAGCAACAUUAGCCCCUCAUUGGCACUUUAAAAUGAAAUAGUUACCAGCAAAGUUGUUCAGUAAAGUGUUUCAGGAAUUCAAAAUGUAUUGGUAAUAUUUUCCAAGUCGGCUACAUUUUUAGUUGAGUUAUAUUGGCCUCAUAUAUGAAACUUCGUUUUAAAUCCUGACAAUUUGCUCUUAAGUGAAUAACCCUUUCACACCAUUUGUAAAUAUAAGUCUAACCCUUUACUAACACAUGGACAAAGUUAUAUCUUCUGUUUAUUUAGGAAACAAGCUGAAACAACAGCAUUCAUUAUGCUAUAUGUUUUAUAUGUUUGGAACACUCGUAGAGUUACAGAUCACCAUAUUGAGACAAACAUCUUCUUUUCAAAGUUUUUGGGACAUAAACCUAAGUCUUAUGAUACCUUUAAAAUAUUUGUGCUAAAAUGUAAAAUACAUAAUGCUACCUAUUAUCCUUUUAAAUAUUUUAGCCACCCGCAAGUACUACUUCGUGACUUCGUGAUAUUUCAUCAAUUAUGUUUUGUUUUUAAUUGGGGAAGUCAGGGGCACUUGCAUGCUAAGUUACUUCUCUGAAACUGCUAUGUUUACAGCAGAAAGGGUUAAUCCUAGAUGGAUCUGGCACCCAGACCACUUCAUUAAGCUGAAGUGGUCUGUGUGCCUAUAGUGGUCCUUUAAGUAAGUUGUAGCAUCUUGCAUCUGAACAGUUCUAUUUUUUCCAAUGAUGAAGUACUGCACAUGCUUGUUAACAAGUAAUUACAGUUUGAUUUGUGGUGUCUCAACAAGUACUUCCUGAUGUGAUUGGCAAAUUGGUUAAGACUAUGGUACCCGGUUAUUUAAAAUGUGACCCAGACCAGAAAAUGUCUCACACCACUUAGGAAAUCAUUGCCCAACGUUUGUUUUCAACAUACUCUGCCCAGCAGAUGGUUAAGAUUUGUAUCUUAGCAUUCAUGAAAGGCAUAAAUAAUACUUAAUGGCACAUGCAUCUUCUAACAGCUUGCACUAUUCAUGAGUAGUCUCACUCAUCAAUAAGGGAGGCUUUGAAUAAGUGUUCUCCAAUUUGGGUAGAUCUCACCCCAUACCCCAUGCAGGAUGUAGUGGUGGUUAUGGUGUUUAGAGUGUUCUUCUUAGUACUUGUAAGACAUUUCAUGUCAGCAUGUAUUUCUGGAGUUCAGUGAGUGCGUUUGAUAAAUCUUUGGCUUUAUUUUAUUUAUUUUAUUUCUUCUCAUUACAGAACUUUUUUCAAGAUCCAAAUGUUGUGUCACAGUUGAAGUUAAUCUCCGACUCUUCUGGGCAAUGGAGGACUCUAGGUA